ensembl:lncRNA
CUUGUCAACAAUGACGAAGAGGACUAUAGCCACGUGUCCACUAGAUGCGAUUUUCCCGCACGGCAACGCACCGCAUCUGAAAAUUGCACGGAUGGCGGGCGGUCACUAGCGGACCACAGCAUUGUCACGUGACAGCGGUCGAGCAACAGUGGGCCACUACUCGGUCACGUGACAGCACUUUCAGCUUGACGGUCCGGUAGAUGACUCGGAUAAACACAGUGGCUCGGCCGCAAACUUUCUCUUUUAUUUUGAACACACUUCAGCGAGAGGUAUUUCUGAAAGCAUUUGAGGCGAGAAAUAAGCUGUGUGUGGUAGGACGACCUAGUCCGCCUCCACUCGUGUUGUGUGUAUCAGAUCAGAUCUGCGCAGCUGGGAGUAAUCUUCCUAAUGCACCUUGCUUGCAGGGCGGUGCCACGCUCCCAUCUGGGAGAGGGCUGCGCGUCUUGUACGUGCAUCCUCUCUCCCUGGAGCCGGAGGGCUACAUCAGUAGCGUGGUUUGGCGUGGAUCUGCGUGGUAGUUAUGAGACGCUGGCUGUCGAGCUUUCGCUAUUCCCUUUCAUCUGGAGCUGUUGGGCCAGGUGGCUGGUGGCUGACUGAUUCCCCCGGCGGUGGUGGUCCCUUCACUCCCUGUACAGUAGUGCACUUGGGUGUCCGUCAAUGGUUUUGUUUUAUUCACAUGUGGUGUGGUGCAUCAGGACCCUUCCCUUCCCCCCUUCAGUUAGUCAUCUCUGCCUGGUAAGCCCUCAGCCCUGUGCCUAGUGACUGUCUUUCGGUGGCAAACUUAACUAAUCCAGGGGGGCCCCUGGAGGAUUAGAUUAAUAUUGUGCCACUUACUACCGAGUUAUUUCUUGGCAUCACCACCAAGGGUUUUUUAGUGAGGAAAGAGUGUAAAUUUUUAAAUACUGUUAAUAAAUUUCAUUUUUCUAUACUUUAUUUGGAAUCGCGUCAGUCUCUGGUGUCUGUCGUACCUGUGUGACCUUUCCUUUGUCUGUAUUGGAGCAGUGGUCCUCUCUCCAUAGAUCUCCUGGGGGUGAAAUUCCCCCAGGUGGCGUUGUCGGACAUGUGAUAAAUAACAAAAGUACAUUCAAUCCCUCGUACCCUUGCCACAUGUGCAGUAACUCAAUCUUUCCUCGUUUUAGUUCACCGACGGCUAGUUUAGAUGUUUGAGGACAGUUUCACGAUGCACGGAAUCUCCGCACACCGCAUUGCAUUUGCAUAAAGUAGAAGUCCAGUCUACUUUAUGCAAAUGAGCUGCAGGCCCGCUCCGGGUAAACACACUGGACCACAGCUGGAAACGAACCGCAACCGGACCAGCAUGCAACUGCGAUGUGUUUCCAGCUGCGAGCCGGUGUGUAAGUU